rnacentral:misc_RNA from 1 species
UCACAGUUUGCACUGGCAGUCUUGUUAGAGUUCCCGACAUGACUCGCUGGCAACUAACAACAGGGGUUGCGCUCGUUAUAGGACUUAACCUGACACCUCACGGCACGAGCUGACGACAACCAUGCAGCACCUUGUAACUUGCCCGAAGGAAAAGCUGUUUCCAGCCCUGUCAAGCUACAUUUAAGCCCUGGUAAGGUGGGGAUGACGUGCUUGCUAGGUAA